rnacentral:tRNA from 1 species
GUCCGCGUGGCCUAAUGGAUAAGGCGUCUGACUACGAAUCAGAAGUUUGCAGGUUCGAAUGCUGUCGCGGUCU